GUCAUCAAAAAUCAUUAAUGAGUUAGCUAAAGCAUUAUUGGGAUGUAUUAUUUCUUUAUUAUCAUUGAAGACCGAGAAUUUAGCACUAGGAACAUUCUUCAUAACUUGUUUUAGAAAACAAUACUUUGGCUGGAAAGCUGUCUUAGAGUAUAAAUAUAUAUGCUUGAAUUUCAAACCGUUUUCAUGCAAUAUUAAAUUGAGCAUUACAUUCGUUUUCCCGCAGUUAGAUGGACCACAUAUUAUACAUCUGAUUGUAUUAGGCAAAAGUGCACUGUGUUUUAUUUUGUGUGAUUGAUUUUCUAACUUUAUAUUACUAAUUUCUAAAGUCUGGGGUUGCUUGAUGAACUUCAUUGUGAAAAGUGAGGCAAAAUAACGUUACUAGUCUAUUUAUAUGUUUACAGGUUAUCAACAAAUAAAAAUCAACAAAGAAACUCCAGUGAUAUUUUCAUCAAUGAUUCAUCAUGCUCCCAAAUACCGGCAGCGCAACAACUACGUCAAAAUGUUUUGAACUACCUAGAGAGGGAAAGACCGUUCCGGUAUGAUGAAAUAAGAUCGAGUCCAUCGUACUCUCCGAUUCCAGCAGCAUCAAGAGAAAGACCCUUUCAAUUCGAAGAAAGACCGAGCAGCAGCGGCCCUGAAAGAGUUCCUAAUAGUAAAAAACGAGGGACCAAAACUUUGUAUUCGUACAUUAAAAAGCCUGCAAAGGGUUUACAAUCGAAAGUAAUACGGAUCCAAAUCUAUGAUGCAGAAGAUUUAAAAAGUUCUAAAUUAUGUGAGUGUAGGGCUAAUGUAUGCGCUCAGCAUAUUGUUGAAAAUGUGUUUAACGAUGAUAUAUACAAGUGCGCAAAAGAUAUGAUAAGUAAAAUUCAAAAGAAACUGUAAAUAAUUCAUAAAUAAACAAUAUUACUGA